GGGAGCGUAGCUCAGUUGGAUAGAGCAUCUGCCUUCUAAGCAGAGGGUCGCAGGUUCGAGUCCUGCCGCUCCUACCA
rnacentral:tRNA from 1 species